UUCGGAGAAAACGAGAAUCGAACCCGGAUUCUGCGGGAUGGAGGCUCACAUUGUGUUCUCGACAUAAUCAAAAGAUUGUCCUCCGCUCAACUUGUAUAGGUACUACAGAGUUUUAGAAACCCGGUCUAAUCAUUGCCUGCGCUUUUCUGUGAGGUCUCGCCAUCACCGAGUGAUCCACAAGAGAUGCCGCAGAUACAGUUCCCUCGCACAGCGGAACUGUAUCUGCCGUGUGUGAUGAUCCACCACAGAAACGUCUUGCCUUAGAAGGAACAAGGCGACUAGAGGCUAAGUCUCAUUCCCGAGGAAACGAGACGGAUACGGUUGAUUCCCAGCGACACUUCUUCCACUCCCAUCCUGUCGAAUAUUCGCCUUUCGAUAGAAAAUUUCUUACUCUCGGUCGUAUCUUAAACGUCUCGGUUAUCUUAAACUGGCCAAAUACGUAUGUUCCCGGAUAAAGUUUGUUUACUACAAACUGACAAUAUUAAAUGCCAUAACUAGGAAUUUUAUGGGAUCUAUGCGCGGCAACCGGAAUAUUUGGGACCAGACUCUUCCCGUGUUAAUAUAUAGGCCUCCGAUAUAAAAUAGAAACCGAAUCCACUCGGUUUUCCAUAAGUCACGGUCACCUCUAUACAGCUGGAAGUCGAUGCCAUUCCUAGGCUCUGGAUUAGCCACCACCCUCGGCCAGUCCAUAAAAACGUUAUAUUUUUCUAUCCCGCUUAAAUUCCGGGUUCCCCGCCGGCCAUUCGCCGCCCUAAUUUCCGGGCGCCCGGUCCGACUGUCACCGUCACCCCGUUAUCGGAAUUUAUUUCACUUACUAUGGCCUUGUCUGGGAUUUUUCUUUAACCGGAAUUCCGGGAUAGUUCAAAUCGGGCCACCCGUUAUUUACCACCAGCAGGUUAUAUGGUCGGCCUUCUUUAAACCCGUGUUGAAAUACGGAUAACUUAUAUUCCAUACGCUACUUUUAUCCGGUCCAAGACCUCCUUCCUUACCGGCAACCUUUGACGGAAAAUUAUCCGGAGUAAAAUUCCUUGUUAACCAGAAAUUUCCGGUGAAACAGGUGGCCAUCCAAAUUACCUUUUCGUUUUACAGAUAAAAGCUGGCCAAAAACUGUUGGCUUAUAUCAUUUUACCUAGGUCGUGUCCAGUCCAUCAAUUUUUGAUAUCUAAAAAUAUUCUGGAUGGUUAGUGUCAUACAUUCCCAGAAUUCCGACGCUUAGUGGCGCCUAAUUAGACGUUUUAAAAAAGUGGCCGAUAGGCCGCCUAACUCGACCCGAAAUUAGGCGGACCUAUUACCGAUGACCUAUUCUGUAUUUGGAAAUUUUUUAUCGUCCCGAGAACAACAUUAACAUAGUGUUAACAUAGUGGCUGGACCAGGGAUGGGCCCGAAGAUGUCACUUUAGUGUGACGUAACUACGCGUUUUAUAACAACUUUUACCAUAAUAUCUCUGGACCGUUAUCUCGGAAUUGGAUAGCUAGCGCUAGUGUAACCAUGACUGGAAAGUACUCGAUAGAGCCGAACUAGGCCAAAUGUUUUUCAAGCUGCCACACCUUGGCCAAUGAAAUGUUUGUUCGCCACAUCAUCUAAAAAUUACCAACAAAAAAGACUUAAGAUUUAUUUAUUUAAACUUUUAAUAGUAAUCUAGUAGUCAGUAACAAGAACGGCUUUUUAUUACAACUCAUAAUUUUGUAGGUAUUUUUAUUUACUACAAGAAUAUCAUCGUUUAAUAGACUUUCAAUUUAUUCCUUUCUGAUUUAUUAUAAUUGUUGUUUCUUUAUUGUAUUUUCUAUUCUGUAAUUUCUUUUGUAAAUAAAUGAAGUUUCCACUAAUUAAUCGGUUAAUUAGCAUUUGGAAUUUGAAUAUAAAUGGACGACGGGAAUAAUGUCUAAUUUUUCCAAUUUUCAACCUAAUAAAAAUUCGUUUUCAUAACAUUUCAUAAAAAACGGAAAUAAAAAAAUGCCAAUGUCGAAUGGCAUUUUUUUUCAGGUGGCCGUGAGAGAGCGGGUGGCCCAACCUGGUGUUAGAGAUUCUCUCUCUCUCUGGUUCGAAUGUCGAAACCCGAAACGCGGAUCGGUAUCACUCGACAUUUAAUUUCCGUGGCUCGGUAUCGAGUGUUUAAGCCGAUGACACGACCUACGCUGUUUAUUCGAGAACGAGAUAUGUCGGACAGCCUAGACAAACUGGUAAAUUCGAUGUAAGGUAUCGACAACUUAGGAAAUAUUCAAGUUAUAUAUACUCGGAGAAUAUUAAAGUACUAUUACUACAGUUAUUUAAUGUUCGAAUAGAAUGUCGGUGUAUUACUAGUAGGUAUGAAAAUAACUUAGGUCUAUACAACAAAACGUUUGGAUUGGAUACUGGAAACGAAUGAAGCCCGAGAGAGAAAAACGCUAAUGGAUACUAAACCACGGAUAACAGCUCUUUCUGUUUCGAUAAGGGAUUUUUUUUGUCAACAGAUGACGCCACACUCCAUUCUGGAAGAAUACUAUAUGACGGGGUGAAACAAACCCUUUCACAGGCUGCCCACCCCUGCGGAGGGGUCAGCGGGAUUGUGGAGAACGGGGAUCGACGGGCCGGGCCCGGACUCCACGAUGAAUAUUUUCGAGGGGUGGGACCC
rnacentral:lncRNA from 1 species